AGAGUUUGAUCAUGGCUCAGAAUCAACGCUGGCGGCGUGCCUAACACAUGCAAGUCGAACGAGAAAGUGGAGCAAUCCAUGAGUAAAGUGGCGCACGGGUGAGUAACACGUGACUAACCUACCCUUGAGUGGGGGAUAACCUGGGGAAACCUUGGCUAAUACCGCAUAAUACCUAUGGGUCAAAGGAGCAAUUCGCUUAAGGAGGGGGUCGCGGCAGAUUAGUUAGUUGGCGGGGUAAUGGCCCACCAAGACAGUGAUCUGUAUCCGGCCUGAGAGGGCGCACGGACACACUGGAACUGAAACACGGUCCAGACUCCUACGGGAGGCAGCAGUGGGGAAUUUUGCGCAAUGGGGGAAACCCUGACGCAGCAACGCCGCGUGGAGGAUGAAGUCUCUUGGGACGUAAACUCCUUUCGACCGGGACGAUUAUGACGGUACCGGAAGAAGAAGCCCCGGCUAACUUCGUGCCAGCAGCCGCGGUAAUACGAGGGGGGCGAGCGUUGUUCGGAAUUAUUGGGCGUAAAGGGUGCGUAGGCGGUUCGGUAAGUUUUGUGUGAAAUCUUCGGGCUCAACUCGAAGCCUGCACGAAAUACUGCCGGGCUUGAGUGUGGGAGAGGUGAGUGGAAUUUCCGGUGUAGCGGUGAAAUGCGUAGAUAUCGGAAGGAACACCUGUGGCGAAAGCGGCUCACUGGACCACAACUGACGCUGAUGCACGAAAGCUAGGGGAGCAAACAGGAUUAGAUACCCCCGUAGUCC
rnacentral:rRNA from 1 species